rnacentral:rRNA from 1 species
CCCUAUGGGGUGCACCAGGCUCCAUUUUCUUCAAAAACGAUUCAUCUGAAGAAAUCAUCGUAAUAUGUACUGCAGCUUUUGCUUUAUUACUAGAUAAAACUUCCAAGUAAUCUUCUCUACCAAGAAGAGCAGAUUUGGUAUUAAUCAUUACUGGAUAUUCAACUUCUCGUAAGUAAUCAAGUAACUCGUAUGAUACCUUCUUAGUUCCUUCUAUCGGCAAAAAGUCUUCAUAACGAAUACCUAAACGAAUGGGCAUUUCUAAGCUUAUUGCUUUUAACACUCCAUCAGUACCAGAAUACGAUUUACCACGUUGGGUCAUUAUUCGAUCUAAUUCUGGUUUGAAAUAAUCUGGCUUGCAAUAACGAAACUUCAUCUCAUCACUAUUAUCAAAAAAGGACGUAUAAAGCGAAGCUCUAAAUGAAUUGGCGGGGGGGC